rnacentral:rRNA from 1 species
GAUGAACGCUGGCGGCGUGCCUAAUACAUGCAAGUCGAGCGAACAGACGAGGAGCUUGCUCCUCUGACGUUAGCGGCGGACGGGUGAGUAACACGUGGAUAACCUACCUAUAAGACUGGGAUAACUUCGGGAAACCGGAGCUAAUACCGGAUAAUAUAUUGAACCGCAUGGUUCAAUAGUGAAAGACGGUUUUGCUGUCACUUAUAGAUGGAUCCGCGCCGCAUUAGCUAGUUGGUAAGGUAACGGCUUACCAAGGCAACGAUGCGUAGCCGACCUGGGAGGGUGUUCGGCACACCUGAACUUAAGCACGGGCCCAACUCCCUCGGGGAGGAAGCAGUAGGGAACCUUCCGAAAGGGGCGAAAGCCUGACGGGGAAACGCCGCGUGAGUGAUGAAGGUCUUCGGACCGUAAACCUCUGUUAUUAGGGAAGAAAAAAUGUGUAAGUAACUAUGCACGUCUUGACGGUACCUAAUCAGAAAGCACGGCUAACUACGUG